AUCGCGGGUCGCUGACGACUGCUGCACUUUGGGAGGGCUGGGAGAGCCGAGGUGUCCGUGGACGCUCUCUCUUUGGACAACGAUCCCUUCAGCUACUGGAUCUGGACAGAAAGGGACAAAAAUAGCCAGUCCAUCACUUACCCACUGGAAUGCGUUGCCAGCUGUCACAGCACACUUGCAUUCGUUGGCUAGCGAACCUUCAAGGUCUGAAUCACAGACUGUUUGAGGUGCAACGGGACCACUGGAGAUCUUCUGGUCCAACCCCCACCCCCUGCUCAAGCAUGGUCACCUAAAGCAGGUUGCCCAGGACCCUGUCUAGAUAGCUUUUGAAUAGCUGCAAGGAUUUGCUACUGAAGUAGCUACAAGGUACUAUUUAUCACUGCAUUCAAUCACUAUAACAUUAUUGGUCAAUGCCCUCUUGUGCCACAUUUUGCAAGUAUAGUCACAUAGGAAGACAAACUAUUCCUACUGGGGAACUGAUGCACAGUGAGAACAGCACCCUUCUCAGCGUCGCUAGCUUGGCCUGUCGUAACAGCACAUCUGCCUGUAGCACUUUGGAGGCCCUUUCCAGCACCUGAACUGGAAGACCAUUCUGCUUUCCAAGAAGCAAUAGGAAUCAAGAAAUGCUAGUAAGCAUAAGAUUUCUACUUUUUUUUUUCCCCUAAUAUAUGCUGGAAUGCAAUAUGAUUAACAGAAAGCUCUUGGAAUGUGUCAGAUGACUUUGUAGAAAGCACAAUGCUGCCUCUUUCGGGACUGGUAUGUUUUCUGAUGUUGUGAGUUUUCCACCUUUUUUUUUUUUUUAAGUAAAAAGGAGAAUUGCAACUUCCUUUACACCAGUACAUUCGCAUAAUACGUUCCUGCCUUCAGGUACUGUAUGUCAUUGUUAUGAGUACAUUUUGACAUCCCUCACACUUCCAGCACUCCAAAGAUCCAUGACAGAGCUGAAUGAAAACUUUUUUUUGACUUGGCAGGAGCAGUAAGAACACAUAAAAUCCGCCAGCUGUCAAGGAUGUAAAUGGUGAUUUUGUUUCACUUUUUUAAUGAAUUAAAGCAGGAUUGAAAUCUGUCCAAAGUCAGCAUGUUUGGCCUUGCAAGGAAAGAAAAAAAUGAAAGGGAGGGAUUUUUUUCUCUUUUGGCACUUAGGCUCAAUACAGUGUUUAUUCUUGGUAGCACAGUAUAGGACAGAACUAUUCUAGUGAAAGAGCCCUAGCCUUGGCUGUUGGAUGUAAGACACCUCAGCAGGGUCUAGUUUCAAGAGACAAAGCAUUUAUGUAUGGAAAACAAAAAGCCUGUGCCUCGUUUCAAGUUGGGUGCCUGAAAAAUGCAGCACCCAUUACUGCUUUGGAGAGUUGGUAGAAAUAAUUUUGUGUGUUAUUAAAUUAUAGUCACAUUGGAGCCAAACUA